rnacentral:tRNA from 1 species
CAAAGUGUAGCUUAAACAAAACAUCCARCUUACACCUAGAAGA